UAUUUUUUAUAAGUAAUUAUUGUAUCUCCCUUUGCGACUGGUAUGUUAAGACAUGAAGUCGUCUCCCUUCGUUACUAGCGACGCAUCUAAAAAUGAUUACCAGCCUUUUGAAUAAACUGAGUGACUGACUGAGUUUAGUUUUAUGCCGC